GAGGAAUGUAUAGCAAUAGCUACUUGUAUCAUUAAUGAUGCAAGCUCGACUAUGUUGAAUAAAGUUCUAGGUAGAAUUAUGAUAAUGACAUUGUCUGCCUAUGUGUCUUGACCAAAUUACGUGCCAGCAGUCGCGGUAAUACGUAGAAGACUAGUGUUAUUCAUGUUUAAUCGGUUUAAAGGGUACCUAGACGGUGAAUCAAGCUUUUAAAUAAAUAAGAAAAGGGACUAAUUCGCUAGAGUUACUUACGAGGGGGUUUUAAAGUACUGCUGGUGUAGAGAUGAAAUUCUGUCAUACCUCUUUUCGAAAGAAGAAUAAUGGCACAGGUAUAGGCGAAGGCAUCCCCUUAUGUGAUAACUGACGUUGAGGGACGAAGGCUUCGUGGAACAAACAGGAUUAGGUACCCUAGUAGUUGAAGCAGAAAAUGAUGAAUGUCAUAGAUUAGACGUCUAAGUUUAUUCUAUAAAUGAAAGUGUAAGCAUUCCACCUCAGGAGUAAUUUGGCAACAUUGGAAUUGAAAUCAUUAGACCGUUUCUGAAACCAG
rnacentral:rRNA from 1 species